rnacentral:rRNA from 1 species
AGAGUUUGAUCCUGGCUCAGGAUUAACGCUAGCGGCAGGCCUAAUACAUGCAAGUCGAACGGUAACAGGUCCAGCAAUGGAUGCUGACGAGUGGCGCACGGGUGCGUAACACGUAUGUAACCUACCUUUGACUGGGAGAUAGCCCCGAGAAAUCGGGAUUAAUACCCCAUAUUAUUACGACAAGGCAUCUUGUUGUAAUGAAAGCUCCGGCGGUCUUAGAUGGGCAUGCGCGACAUUAGCUAGUUGGUGAGGUAACGGCUCACCAAGGCAACGAUGUCUAGGGGUUCUGAGAGGAUUCACCCCCACACUGGUACUGAGACACGGACCAGACUCCUACGGGAGGCAGCAGUAAGGAAUAUUGGUCAAUGGACGCAAGUCUGAACCAGCCAUGCCGCGUGCAGGAUGACAGCCCUAUGGGUUGUAAACUGCUUUUGUACGGGAAAAAACCUCCGGUCGUGAACCGGAGCUGAUGGUACCGUAAGAAUAAGCAUCGGCUAACUCCGUGCCAGCAGCCGCGGUAAUACGGAGGAUGCAAGCGUUAUCCGGAUUCAUUGGGUUUAAAGGGUGCGCAGGCGGAAUGAUAAGUCAGUGGUGAAAUCCUAGAGCUUAACUCUAGAACUGCCAUUGAUACUGUCGUUCUUGAGUACACUUGAAGUGGGCGGAAUGUGUCAUGUAGCGGUGAAAUGCUUAGAUAUGACACAGAACACCGAUCGCGAAGGCAGCUCACUAAAGUGAAACUGACGCUCAUGCACGAAAGCGUGGGGAUCAAACAGGAUUAGAUACCCUGGUAGUCCACGCUGUAAACGAUGAUUACUCGAUGUUGGCGAUAUACAGUCAGCGUCUAAGCGAAAGCAUUAAGUAAUCCACCUGGGGAGUACGGCCGCAAGGUUGAAACUCAAAGGAAUUGACGGGGGCCCGCACAAGCGGUGGA